CCAAUAGCGUAUAUUAAAGUUGUUGCAGUUAAAAAGCUCGUAGUUGAAUUUCGGGGUUAGCAGGUCGGUCGUGCCAUCGGUAUGAACUGGUCUCGCUGAUCCCUCCCUCUUGAAGAACUGUGAUGCCAUUAAUUUGGUGUCGCAGGGAAUCAGGACUGUUACUUUGAAAAAUUAGAGUGUUUAAAGCAGGCUCACGCUUGAAUACAUUAGCAUGGAAUAAUGAAAUAGGACGUUUGAUCCUAUUUUGUUGGUUUCUAGGAUUGACGUAAUGAUUAAUAGGGAUAGUUGGGGGCAUUAGUAUUCAAUUGUCAGAGGUGAAAUUCUUGGAUUUAUUGAAGACUAACUACUGCGAAAGCAUUUGCCAAGGAUGUUUUCAUUAAUCAAGAACGAAAGUUAGGGGAUCGAAGACGAUCAGAUACCGUCGUAGUCUUAACCAUAAACUAUGCCGACUAGGGAUCGGAUGAUGUAAUUUUAAUGACUCAUUCGGCGCCUUACGACGAAA
rnacentral:rRNA from 1 species